AAAAAAAAAAAGUGAAAACGGGAAAGAGAGAGAGUCUUAUUUUUCUCUGAGUUUUGGUUUCUUUUUAUAGAAGAAGUCCUAUUUGUGGUUGCCUACUAGAGGCCUUCUCUGCCCCUCAAUGUAGGAGAGCCGCCCUUGGGCCUAGAAAAGUGGGUUUUGCCCUUCCUUUUUUUUGAGUUGAGUUGUUUUUUAGUUUUUUCUUUAUUUUUUUGCAGAUCUGGAACUAGAUGUGGGCAUUUUCUUCUAGCGAUCUUUGAGAGAGAGUUUUAGCAGAUGAAGCUCUGCCUAGUCUUUUCACAGUUGAGAGGAGAACGAGCCUUCCUUUGCCUUUGUUCAGUGCUGCUCCUUUUGAUGAAGGUUUGUUUGGAAGCUUACUGAGUCAAUGUGAGCUCUCUUCUUCUUCUUCGAUGGUAUAAGAUUAGUUUCAUCUAGUGGCGGUUUGCUCGUGGGAUGCAAUUCAAAAAUCAACCCAGAAGGCACAAGUGGGAUGCUGAAAAACCCCACUACCACUGACCUCCACUUGUUGUUGUCGGUAGGUGGCUUACAUGGCUACUUCCUCUUUGUGGAUUCUAGUUCCUUGAUAUGUGCUUUUCUUGGUUGUGCUUAGCACCAAUAGUCUUUGAUUCCUUGGGUGUUUAUUGCUUAGGGCCGUUUUAUUAUACGUUGAUGCUGUGCAUGGCCACGGCCUUGAGUUUGCUCUUUAGUAUGUUUUUUUAAUCUCCCCCGAUGAAGGAUUGCCAAUUGCGUUGCAGCGCUGCUAUGUGCUUUCAUCGGGUUUUGGGUUUCGGGCGGAUUAUCAUAUCAGCUAGGAUUAUGAAUGGGCACUGGGCCUAAAGUGCUGGGAUGGAUUUGAUUUAUCUAGGUUUAUAUGUAUUGGGCCAAGAAG
rnacentral:misc_RNA from 1 species